UACAGAGGCCUCGAGCGUUGUUCGGAAUUACUGGGCGUAAAGGGAAUGUAGGUGGUCAUGUAAGUCAGAUGUGAAAGCCCUAGGCUUAACCUGGGAAGUGCAUUUGAUACUGCGUGGCUGGAGUGCGAGAGAGGAAAGCGGAAUUCCUGGUGUAGGAGUGAAAUCCGUAGAUAUCAGGAGGAAUACCGAUGGCGAAGGCAGCUUUCUGGCUCGUAACUGACACUGAGAUUCGAAAGCUUGGGUAGCAAACAGG
rnacentral:rRNA from 1 species